rnacentral:misc_RNA from 1 species
AAAAAACACUCUUUUUCUCUCUCAUAACUCGCUGUGUGUUUUUUCUCUCUCAGAAAAUCCGAAAUUUAUCCUCAAUUUCUCUUCUUUUUGUCUCCAAAACUUCCAUAUACUUGCUCAGCAAUGCAUGAUCUUCAUUUUAAUUCUAGUUUCGAGUUUUGAUACUCUAAUUUUGAUCCGCUUUGCCUUGACUCACUGAGUUUGAAUAGAAAUAAUGCUCGAGGCUAUGGAGAGUUCAGUCAAUGGAGGAUUCUCGCACUUGCAGAUCUGUGGAGACAGCAGCGAAGAGGAGCUUUCCGUGUUGCCUCGUCACACUAAGGUGGUUGUCACCGGAAAUAACAGGACCAAGUCGGUGCUUGUGGGUCUUCAGGGAGUCGUCAAGAAGGCUGUUGGGCUUGGCGGUUGGCAUUGGCUGGUAUUUGUUUGGACUUAUUUUGGGUAUUUCAGUAAUGGGUUUCAUAGUUUUGGUUUGGUUCGGAUUGAUUUUGGGUUAUAAUAUUGUUUUAGUGAGGUUUAAACCUUGAUUUUUUUUUAAUUUUAAUUUUGUUGUGUUUAAAUGUCGUGUUAUGGCAAUGUGGGUCAAUUUUAGCAGUUUCGCUUUGGAUUUUGGGAGAUUGAUUUUGUUUUGCUAAUCAAGUGGUAAAGUUUAAUUUUCAUUUUGUAUUUUCUUUAAGUUCAAAUUUGGGUGUCCUUUCCAAAAUUAAUCAUUCUUAAUUUCAAAAUUAAUUUGGUUCAAUAGUAGAAAGUUGUUUUUGGAUAAUAAUUUGUGAAGCAAAUAUGCAAAUUGUGCAAAGUUUCCUGUAUUAAGGUGCUUUAUGCUGAUUUCAAGUUACAAUUUCUGGGUUUGGGUAAUGGGUUUUCAUUGCAUGCGCAUUUUUACCAACGGAUCUGGUGUUUCAGUGGGAUUUUACUAUUGUGGGAUUUUAAAUCGGCAUUUUGAUGCGGUUUUGAUAUUUGUUUUGAGUUUAUUUUCAUUUCCUUUUCCUCUUUGAUUAUAUCUGUAGUUUUCAGGGGGGUUUAGUGACAGUGGUGUUUGAGUUGCUUUUAGCUCCGCAUGGGAUUUUGGGCCUGCACACAAUUACUUCACACAGUUUUUGAAGCGUAUGAGAAUUCAAUACAUUCUUAUUGGAUUAAAUUAGUUUUUCCCCUUUAUUCCCAAUUUUGAUGUCUUUUUAUUUUGUUGGGAGUGAUUGGAUUGCUAGAUUUUCUUGCUUGUUUAAUCAUGGAGCUUUCUUUGCAUGAACGAUUAUUUGACAUAAAUUCAGUUGAAAUUGUUUUGCUUUCUGGGUUGUCAAUAAAAUUACUAUUUCUCCUUUGAAGGGUCUCAUGUAUUCCCCAAUUUGUUUUUGGGAUUUCUAUUGAAUAUUAAUUUAUAAUGCAAAUGAAAAUUAGUACAUCUUUUGAUGAAAAUAAACCUGAUGGUUUGGAUUAUUUUACUCCACUGUAGUAUUAUGAUAUCUUCUCAACAUGUAUCUUGCUCUUUGACCUGGCUUUAUAUUCGUGGGGAAGUCUUGAUUGAGAUUUUGAUUCAUAUUUUCACUCUGAAGAACUUUUGUGCCUGAUAUACUAGCUUAUUUUGAUUGUAAAUAUAAUUAUCAACAACUAAAUAGUCAUAGUUGCCUGAACACCAAAACAUAACUAUUUUGAUAAAUUAACUAGCAUUGAAUUCCACUGUUUUUUGUCCCUUUUCCUCUUCUUGAUGUUGGACCACUUACCAGUUCACCAUUUGGUGUAUGAUAUUCCAUUAUGCUUUUGUUUUGCUUCUGAUGUUAGCAAUGUAACUUUACUAAAAUUGCAGGUUCUUACAAAUGGCAUUGAAGUAAAGCUACAGAGGAAUGCCCUUAGUGUGAUUGAGGCUCCCACUGGCAAUGAAGGUGAUGAUGACUUGGAAUUUGAUAAUGUGCGGUGGAAUGGAUCUGAUAUGGGUGAGUUUGGUUACUUAAAUUCAUCAUUAAAUAUUCUCCUGCAGCCCCCAAAUUUUGUUGAAAGUCUUGAGUAAAAUGAAAAAUUGUUUUGGAAAGAAAGCUGGUCCUUCAAUGGGAAGUGGGUCAGCAAAUUUGCUAAUUUUAACUCAUUUUGUAGCAAAUUGUAUUUGUUCCAUUAAGAAUCCCUCUUUCCUGAACUAAAUCUCUGUCAGGUUAGAGUUAAGACUUUGCUCGGACCUUAGUUGUGAGUUUGUAAGAGUGUUUUUUGUGGGGGAAAGUGAUGGAAUAUGUUAACAUAGGAUCCUUUCUGUCGUUCACUUUUUACUUUCACUGUUGCAAAAGCACAUCUCCCUUGUUUCAUUUCUUUAUCUUUUAAUUGGGCCCAGCACUUUUUAAUCCUGGUUUGUGCUUUUGCUGAUUUUCCCAGCAUCCGAUGACACCCAAAAGUCCCAUAGAUCAAGGCAUAGGACCCAUAAAUCAACGGGGUCAUCUCACAAGACUAUGAGCAGGUCUCUCUCUUGCGACUCGCAGUCUAAGGGCUCUGUUUCUACAUCUCGUGGGGCCACGGUAUAUAAACUCUUUAGCAAUUCUAUUUGCUCGUGUACACUGUUUUCCUGUGACUUUGAUGAGGAAAGAAAUUAAAACGUAAUUAGUAUCUCGUUUCUUUUACUAUGAACAUCACUGUCACAGAAAGUUGACCUCAGCAAAUUGGAGAUGGCUGCCUUGUGGAGAUAUUGGAGACACUUCAAUCUUGUGGGUUUUUUUUUUUGAUUGAGCAGCCUUUAAUAAAUUUUUUCUUCUGUAGCACGUAGCCUACCUUUGUAUUAAUUAAUUAUACAAUAUUUUAUAGGUGGAUGCUAUCCCCAACCCAUCUAAAGAGCAACUAGUAGAUGUUGUUCAGAGGCAUUUUAUGUCCCAGGUACUUCCUAAAAUUCCCAAGUUUCAUCCUUUUCUCUCUUAAAAGCUGAAGGGGUUUGUUAUUGUUAUGGGGAGUUUUCCAAUUUAACUGAAAAAGAUGUUUUGGUGUUGAAGCAAAUGGAUGAGUUGCAGGUCAUUGUGGGAUUUGUUCAGGCUGCGAAGAGACUGAAGACCGUCUGCAAGUGACGACAGCAAGCAAAAGUGAGAUGUUGGAGAUUUGCUUAAUCUCAAUGCUAACAGAUACUGGUACCUAAAUGUCCCCUUCCCUGUCUGUAACAUAUGUAUGGCUUGUUUAUCAUUAUCGUUUAUGUUAGUAUUUAGUUGUAGUAGUUACUUUGUCCCAUCUAUAGAGGUUUUCAUUUCUUCUUUUUGCUGCCCUUUUUGAUAGUGUAGCUAUGUAGAUAUUAUGUAAACCAGUAACUAGACCUCCAAGAAGUCCCUGUGGCAUUUCUUCUAAGCUUGGUUUAAUGUAUUGCUGUCGUUGGGGAACUGGACUUCUGAAAAUGUAUAUAUUCUUCGUUCUCUGCGCUUGGACCUUGUUUCCUGCUUCUAAUCUAACUCUAUUGAACAAUGUCUGCAAUUACUGAUUUUUGUUUUGGUUAUUUCCUUUCACAACUAUUUAAUUAUCUAAGUAUCAAAAAGGGGCCCAUCUCAGUCAAUUCUCACAGCAUUUGGUUGCAACGCAUUGAAGAGUU